UACGGGGGGGGCUAGUGUUAUUCGUCAUUACUGGGCGUAAAGGGUGUGUAGGUGGUUUUCAUAGAGGAGCGGUUAAAUAAUCUGAGCAUAACUGAGAAAUUAAAUGCUAAACUAGGGAACUUGAGGGCAAAGGAGGUUCGUUGUAUUCUUAGUGGAGAGGUGAAAUUUUAAGAUACUAAGAGGAAACCCAAUAGGCAAAGGCAACCAACCAAAAUGUUACUGACACUGAGGCACAAAAGCAUGGGUAUCAAACAGG
rnacentral:rRNA from 1 species